rnacentral:rRNA from 1 species
AGCAUGUGCGCGAGUCAUUGGGAAUCUAUAAACCUAAAGGCGUAAUGAAAGUAAAGGUUCUCCUCGCGGGAACCUAGGGAAGACGGGCGACGACGAUUUUCACCGUUAAAAGUGGAAUUCGGUAUACCGUUCGCUCCGCAUUCCCGGGGCGUUUUGUUCUCAUUGCGAGAAGAGGCGCACCAAGAGCGUACACGCUGGGACCCGAAAGAUGGUGAACUAUGCCUGGUCAGGAUGAAGUCAGGGGAAACCCUGAUGGAGGUCCGUAGCGAUUCUGACGUGCAAAUCGAUCGUCGGAACUGGGUAUAGGGGCGAAAGACUAAUCGAACCAUCUAGUAGCUGGUUCCCUCCGAAGUUUCCCUCAGGAUAGCUGGCGCUCGUUGCGCAAGAGUCUCAUCCGGUAAAGCGAAUGAUUAGAGGCAUUGGGGUCGAAACGACCUCUACCUAUUCUCAAACUUUAAAUGGGUGAGAUCUCCGGCUUGCUCGAACGUACACUAGUCUACUAGUUAACUGUCUAAUGCAGCGCGCUAGCAGCUAGUUGAAGCCGCGAGAUACACGGAUCAGAGAGCCAAGUGGGCCAUUUUUGGUAAGCAGAACUGGCGCUGUGGGAUGAACCAAACGUCGAGUUAAAGCGCCUAAAUCGACGCUUAUGGGAUACCAUGAAAGGCGUUGGUAACUUAA